UUCAUAAAAGAAAGGUUAUAGAGUAUCAUUAGUUUAUUUACUUAUUUAAAUUUUCGGAAAAGCCUACAAUACUUUUUCCUUUUCGUUUAAAAAGGUUGGUUUUAGACUUUAGCCACAACACAUGAGUCCCGAGACCUCUACGGUAAUAUUCCCUAUCUUGUGUCGGUCUUUUUAUAAACAACGUUGUAAUAAAAAGUUUGAAAAUAAAAAACCUGUGAGGAGAUGUGUAGGCAAAAUCAACCCAGCCGAGAUCAUCGCCGCGCCACUUGAGAAUACGGCCAUCCACGACGGCGGCAUAAGGACCUUCUCCUUGCGGAUCAAAUU
rnacentral:lncRNA from 1 species